rnacentral:rRNA from 1 species
CUUCCCGAGAGUUUUUUGGAUGCUCAGGACGAACGCUGGCGGCGUGCUAAUACAUGCAAGUCGAGCGGACAGAUGGGAGCUUGCUCCUGAUGUUAGCGCGGACGGGUGAGUAACACGUGGGUAACCUGCCUGUAAGACUGGGAUAACUCCGGGAAACCGGGGCUAAUACCGGAUGGUUGUUUGAACCCGCAUGGUUCAAACAUAAAAGGUGGCUUCGGCUACCACUUACAGAUGGACCCGCGGCGCAUUAGCUAGUUGGUGAGGUAACGGCUCACCAAGGCAACGAUGCGUAGCCGACCUGAGAGGGUGAUCGGCCACACUGGGACUGAGACACGGCCCAGACUCCUACGGGAGGCAGCAGUAGGGAAUCUUCCGCAAUGGACGAAAGUCUGACGGAGCAACGCCGCGUGAGUGAUGAAGGUUUUCGGAUCGUAAAGCUCUGUUGUUAGGGAAGAACAAGUACCGUUCGAAUAGGGCGGUACCUUGACGGUACCUAACCAGAAAGCCACGGCUAACUACGUGCCAGCAGCCGCGGUAAUACGUAGGUGGCAAGCGUUGUCCGGAAUUAUUGGGCGUAAAGGGCUCGCAGGCGGUUUCUUAAGUCUGAUGUGAAAGCCCCCGGCUCAACCGGGGAGGGUCAUUGGAAACUGGGGAACUUGAGUGCAGAAGAGGAGAGUGGAAUUCCACGUGUAGCGGUGAAAUGCGUAGAGAUGUGGAGGAACACCAGUGGCGAAGGCGACUCUCUGGUCUGUAACUGACGCUGAGGAGCGAAAGCGUGGGGAGCGAACAGGAUUAGAUACCCUGGUAGUCCACGCCGUAAACGAUGAGUGCUAAGUGUUAGGGGGUUUCCGCCCCUUAGUGCUGCAGCUAACGCAUUAAGCACUCCGCCUGGAGAAUA